UUCUCAGACUUGACUUCCAGACGUGAUCGGUGCGGCUGCAAGCCUACAAAGGAGGAUGUCAAAAGAUGCUUUAUGUUGGAAUUUGAUAGAGCUGCAUUCAUAAUAGCAUCAACAGCUACAGAGGAGGAAAUGCUAAACUGGUACCGUGAACACAUUGUGUGGGGUGAUAAAGACCUAAAAUUGAAACUCUUGAGAAAGGGCAUUUUAACUCGCAUAUAUUCUCCCAUGGCCAUAAUACAAGCUUUAAGGGAGUCUCGGGUAUUCAGCUCUAUUAUUGCGUCUGCUUCAACAACUAUUUCAAAAGACAAGUUUUUAG
rnacentral:misc_RNA from 1 species